ACCCGAAAAAUUCAAGUUAAUUUCCGAUGACGUUUUGGAAAUGAUUUCGUGGUCGUGGACACGAGUACGAAGCUUAGAGGAGUGUGGAAUUAGUUCGAACGAUUUUAUUUCGAAAACUGAACGUUUUAGGGGAGGUCAAAGGUGUUGACUUUUUAUACAUUGGGAAUUUGGGAAAACUUCCUUCAUGAAAGUUGUAGAGCUCGUCGAUACGAUCUCGUGCAUAUGUGGAACGCAAAAAUCGGAGUUCGUAUGAGAAAGUUAUGAUCAAUUGAAAUUUGGGGAAAUUUCUAUAAAUAGCAAAAAAAUCCCGAAAAUUUCCAUUUCUGCAGAUUUUUCUCUCCCGAGCCCAGAUUUCGGCCUCUCUCUUCCACCGGCCAUAUCUCCCUCCACAGACCUCCGAUCGACUUGAUUUCAAAAGCAUUUUCAUUCGCCUUGAAGUCAGUUAAAACUUCCUAGAAGACAUAAAAGUGAGAAAAGAACCAUGGAAGGCGCUAGGAGGCCGAGAAGCUGCACAGCUCGAGCUGGAAUUCGCCCGAUGCUGCUCUUCCUUCACCGGCCGAUAUCUCUCUCAUCCGACCUCGAAUCGAGUUGAUUCCAAAAGGGAUUUUGUUGGGCUUGAGCUAUAUUACAACUUUGUAGAAGACAUCGAGGGGAAAUAACCAACGUGGUAGCCGCUACAAGUCGAAGAACACGGUGCAGUCGAGCUGGAAAUCGUCUUCCUUCGCCACCUUGGUUCUCCCAGCUCCGGCCACUAUAGCUCGAGUUCUUUGAGGGCUUUUCUAGCCCAGAGGAAGUAGAAGCUAUCCCCAAGAAGGCUUGCAGCGAUUUGAUCCGGGGUGAUCGAAUUUUGGAGUUUUGAAACUAGGGUUCAUCGGAUCCGUCGACUUCCAAGGUGAUUGACGGUCUCCCUUGGGUGAAAGAUUUCGGUGUGUAUUGUGUUGAAUUGAAGACGCAGCGGGAAUAUCGAGCGGGUAAUCCUACAGGACAGGAGAACCAGGACGGUGAUCGUGCGGUUAGAGCAAUUGUUAGAGUUUUACAACAAUUGUAAGUUGUGAGGUGUGUUAUGCUCAUUUGAGCUUUAUAAUAUAUUGUGAGAGUGAAUUGUAAUAAUGAACUCGAAGUUUCGAGAUUUGGUUUUUUUGUAAUUGUAAUUAUUCAGGUUUCGGAUUUGAA